rnacentral:rRNA from 1 species
GAGGAAUAUUGGUCAAUGGGCGGAAGCCUGAACCAGCCAUGCCGCGUGCAGGAAGGAGGCCCUACGGGUUGUAAACUGCUUUUACCCGGGAAGAAACCGCCCCCUGUGGGGGGCGUUGCCGGUACCGGGGGAAAAAGGAUCGGCUAACUCCGUGCCAGCGGCCGCGGUAAUACGGAGGAUCCGGGCGUUAUCCGGAAUUACUGGGUUUAAAGGGUGCGUAGGCGGGGCUUUAAGCCGGCGGUGAAAUGCAGCGGCUCAACCGCUGGAAUGCCAUUGGGACUGGGGCUCUUGGAUACGGUCGGGGCGGGUGGAACUCGUGGUGUAGCGGUGAAAUGCAUAGAUAUCACGAGGAACGCCGGUAGCGAAGGCAGCUCGCCGGGCCGGUAUUGACGCUGAGGCACGAAAGCGUGGGGAUCGAACAG